GGAAGUAAAAGUCGUACAAAGUUUCCGUAGGUGAACCUGCGGAAGGAUCAUUAUUGUAUAACCGAGGUGCGAGGGCUGUCGCUGACCCGAAAGGUCGUGCACGCCCGAGUGCCCUCACACACAUCCAUCUCACCCCUAUGUGCACCACCGCGUGGGUCCCCCUUUGGCUUGUUCGGAGGGGGGCUUACGUUUUCACACAAACUUUGUAUGCAGUGUAGAAUGUAUUUUUUGUUUUUGCGAUCACGCAAUCAAUACAACUUUCAACAACGGAUCUCUUGGCUCUC
rnacentral:misc_RNA from 1 species